CUGCCUAUGAACGCACACUUUGGAUGCGACACAACUAUGCCGGUUAGCCAAACCUAAAUUACGGUGCACAUCAAUUACGUAUUGCUGUAAUACUGGAGCUUUUUUAUGAAUGGAGUGAAUUACAUUCUUUGAGAAAAAGCGUAUAAUUUGCUCGCUUAAUUAGGCUACUCAGAGAGAACGACGUCAUUGAACAAGCAGUGAUUGCUUAUAAAGGCAGAAAAACGAAAUGAAUGAAUAGAGACAAUUUGCUACAGCAUACCUACGUCUUUUAUUUAAGGACAAUGACCCAACACACCUCCAGGCUGUGUAAGGGCU